UACGGAGGGUGCAAGCGUUAUCCGGAUUCACUGGGUUUAAAGGGUGCGUAGGCGGGCAGGUAAGUCCGUGGUGAAAUCUCUGAGCUUAACUCAGAAACUGCCAUGGAUACUAUUUGUCUUGAAUAUUGUGGAGGUAAGCGGAAUAUGUCAUGUAGCGGUGAAAUGCUUAGAUAUGACAUAGAACACCAAUUGCGAAGGCAGUUUACUACACAGUUAUUGACGCUGAGGCACGAAAGCGUGGGGAUCAAACAGG
rnacentral:rRNA from 1 species